UAAAUUUGCUCAAAUGUUAAAACAGAGGAAGUAUUUGUUACCAGCUUUUAGGAAGACUUUCUCUCGGUUUAGACAGGAGAACAAUCCAGUUUUUUGGGGGCAAUACGCUGCUUAAUUAGUUGGGCCAAAAAUGCGUGGCGUGAGCUUGAAGAGCGAACACAUCUUACUCGGGAAUGAAAAUAUCACAGAAAAAGUGAAAGGCAUGCAUGUGGGAUCCCUAUGCACAUGAGCUCCUUCCACAAGUGGUGUCGGAACGGUAGCUAGCUAGAUGCGUUUGUGCGAGCGAUGCUUCACCCAACCCUCGACCUUGCUUUGCUACUAGCCCAACUGCACCGCCACAGCCCAACCUCGAGUUGUACACUGAAGCUCUAAGCUAUUAGAAGGUAUUAUCUCUUGUUUUAAGGAUUGUGGGAGCUUUUACAGUACAUUCCACUAAGUAGUCAGGGACGAAGCCACGUGUGAGGCAGCUUGGGCUUGGGCCCCACACGUGACAAAGAAUUUCAAUGGCAAAAUAUAUACCAAAAUUUAGAUAGAAACUCGGUGAAAAUUUUGAAACAGCAUAGCUUGGUCCUACUCUCGGUGAAAUCUUGCCUCAACCCCUGCACGUAGUGUUAGUAUUCUAGUAGUAUGAUUAAAUGUACACACGGUUGAUUUACAUUAGUAUUUACAUUGGUUGUGUUUCGGGUCUUCUUCCAUCGGUUGAAGCUGGGGUUAUGUGUGUGAUCAUUCCUCCUUGCCAGAAUUCACCUAAGGAAAUCCUGGUCAUCUCCAAUAUGUGUGCAAUGAUUGAUAUCGAGCGUUCACUGAGAAGGUUGACCUUUCGUUCCUGAUGCUUACUAAUCAUGUCAUAGAGAAACAAAUGUGAUGGUCGAAGAAAAGAGAAGAAACCACAAAGUAAAGCUAGUAUUCAAGGAAGGACUAAUAAAGGAAGCACAUCUACCAUAUUCCUAGUGACUUUUAAAUCUGCCUCUGGUUCUUAAGCAAACUAUGCAAAUGCCAUAUUUGUCCACAUCUUGCAUCUUGAUGCACCAUGGUGGAAGGUACCACCAAUAUUCCACCGGCAGGUGUAAGUCAAGAAUCUAAACAUAAGGUGCUGAUGUGUCCUGUCCCACAGAACAACCAAACUCUCAUGUUCCGACAUGUAUAUUUUUUUA